rnacentral:rRNA from 1 species
GGCGAAAGGGUGAGUAAUGGAUAGGUAACGUGCCCUGUGCUUCGGGAUAGCGUCGGUUGCUUCGGCAACCUUCCGAAAGGGACGGUAAUACCGAAUAAUAUCAUUUGUCGAUAGAAAAAUGAUCAAAGAUUUAUCGGCAUAGGAGCGGCCUGCCUCCUAUCAGCUUGUUGGUGAGGUAUCGGCUCACCAAGGCAGCGACGGGUAGCGGGACUGAGAGGUUGACCCGCAACAUCGGGACUGAGACACUGCCCGGACCUCCACGGAGGGCUGCAGUAACGAAUAUUGUGCAAUGGGCGAAAGCCUGACACAGCGACGCCGCGUGUAGGAGGAAGUCCCUCGGGAUGUAAACUACUGUCAGGGGGAAGAAAGUGCGCUUCGGCGCAUUGAUCUAACCCAGAGGAAGUCACGGCUAACUUCGUGCCAGCAGCCGCGGUAAGACGAAGGUGGCAAGCGUUGUUCGGUAUUACUGGGCUUAAAGCGUGUGUAGGCGGAAAGGUAAGCGUUUCGUGAAAUCCCCCGGCUUAACCGGGGAACUGCGCAACGAACUGCUUUUCUUGAGGCAAGUAGGGGUGCAUGGAACUCUUGGUGGAGCGGUGGAAUGCGUAGAUAUCAAGAGGAACGCCAGUGGAGAAAUCGGUGCGCUGGACUUGUUCUGACGCUGAGACACGAAAGCGUGGGUAGCGAACGGGAUUAGAUACCCCGGUAGUCCACGCCGUAAACGAUGCCUACUA